rnacentral:rRNA from 1 species
UGCCAUCCGCCGCGGUAAUACUGAGUGGGUUAUCUUUAUUCGGAAUUAUUGGGCGUAAAGCGCGUGUAGGCGGUUCGUUAAGUCUGAUGUGAAAGCCCGGGGCUCAACCCCGGAAGUGCAUUGGAAACUGGCGAACUUGAGUACGGGAGAGGAAAGUGGAAUUCCGAGUGUAGGGGUGAAAUCCGUAGAUAUUCGGAGGAACACCAGUGGCGAAGGCGGCUUUCUGGACCGAUACUGACGCUGAGACGCGAAAGCGUGGGGAGCAAACAGGAUUAGAUA